GCAGCAGAUGGCGCAGUGGUUAGAGCCAUUGCCUUGCAAACAGGUGGACACGGGUCUGAAUCCCGGCUCCUGCUGCA
rnacentral:tRNA from 1 species